GAUGAACGCUGGCGGCGUGCCUAAUACAUGCAAGUCGAGCGAACGGACGAGAAGCUUGCUUCUCUGAUGUUAGCGGCGGACGGGUGAGUAACACGUGGAUAACCUACCUAUAAGACUGGGAUAACUUCGGGAAACCGGAGCUAAUACCGGAUGAUAUUUUGAACCGCAUGGUUCAAAAGUGAAAGACGGUCUUGCUGUCACUUAUAGAUGGAUCCGCGCUGCAUUAGCUAGUUGGUAAGGUAACGGCUUACCAAGGCAACUAUGCAUAGCCGACCUGAGAGGGUGAUCGGCCACACUGGAACUGAGACACGGUCCAGACUCCUACGGGAGGCAGCAGUAGGGAAUCUUCCGCAAAGGGCGAAAGCCUGACGGAGCAACGCCGCGUGAGUGAUGAAGGUCUUCGGAUCGUAAAACUCUGUUAUUAGGGAAGAACAUAUGUGUAAGUAACUGUGCACAUCUUGACGGUACCUAAUCAGAAAGCCACGGCUAACUACGUG
rnacentral:rRNA from 1 species